UACAGAGGGGGCAAGCGUUAUUCGGAAUUAUUGGGCGUAAAGGGCGCGUAGGCGGCUUGGCAAGUGGAAGGUGUAAUCCCUCGGCUUAACCGAGGAACUGCCCUCCAAACUGCUUCGCUUGAGACCGGGAGAGGUGAGUGGAAUUCCCAGUGUAGCGGUGAAAUGCGUAGAUAUUGGGAGGAACACCAGUGGCGAAGGCGGCUCACUGGACCGGUACUGACGCUGAUGCGCGAAAGCGUGGGUAGCAAACAGG
rnacentral:rRNA from 1 species